GAGCCGUUAGCUCAGUUGGUUUAGAGCACUACCUUGACAGGGUAGGGGUCACUGGUUCGAAUCCAGUACGGCUCA
rnacentral:tRNA from 1 species